GCCAUCUUGGAUUUUUCCUUACCUGUUCCCUCGUGGUCUCCUGGUCUGGGCUCCCCUGGCUCUCCUUACCGUCGCCGGCGUCCGCACAGCUCGCUCGUUACUUUUUCUUCACGGAAACUGUAAGUCAGGCUCGCCGUAAAGCAACCGCUGCAAUUUCCCUGCUUUACACGGCGUAGCCCCGUUCGGUUCAAAUCUACGUUCGGUUCGGUUUUAUUGUAUCACCAAAACUAUGUGCCCAAAUAAAGCAUUCCCAAAAACGUAUCACACAUGUGUGAACGUCACUUUAUUGACAUCAAUUUUACAGCCACAUCCU